ensembl:lncRNA
AGGUUCUACUGUAGUCUGCUUUGUUAUUUAACAGAUCUCUUUCUUGUUGUUCAACUCAAUAUUAUCACAGCAAAACCUUUAUUUAAAGCCCUCUUCUGUUAAGCCACUACCUUCCUUAAAUGACUACCCCAACAGUAUUCCCCAGCAUUUUUACUGUUCCAGAACCUGUAUUGAGACCCCCCCCUCCACCACAAUUAACCCCUGCCCCCCGAGUUGAUCCUGGAUGCAGCAUCAUGCUUUUAUAGGAAGACUGAGCAGCUUUGGAUUUCAACACCCAUAAGGAACAUACAGUUUAUACACAUUGAUUCUGCAAACGUUCACACCAGACAUGCCAAACCCAUGAAAAAAAUGCAGAAAUUGGGCUUGUUUUUGGCUUAAUUGGCUUGUGAGUUGGCUAGUUUUUGGCUUGUAGCUUUUUGCUUGUUGUAGCUUGUUGUCUUUUUUUUUUUUUUUGGUAUCGGCUCCCGGCAAGCAGGGGCAAGGGGGAGAGAGAGUCAGGGCAUGUUUCAGUACCACGAAAGCAGCUGACUUCUCUUCCUUAUCUAAAAUGUUUGAUAAAAUUUGUCAAAAUUAACUUGACUUUAAUCUUCCACUUCAGACUCCUGACUCAAAUUAAAGCCUCCAGUCUCUCUCCUUUUGUGGUAUGGGUAUGCAGCAAUGCCUGAAAACCUGGAAAAUAUCCCAUCAAGAGAUAAUGCACCAGCGCCAAGAACAAACUGAAGAGUUAGUUAUGGCUAAUGGGCAAUAUGGAUAUUGUUUGCUGUGUUGGCCCCAGGAUAUUAGAGAGGCAAGGUGGAUGAGGUAAUAUCUUAUACUGGACCAAUUUCUGUUGGUGAAAGAGGCAAGCUUUCAAGCCACAUAGAUAUUGUCAUUCUGCCUCCAAGACUCUGUAGGUUGGCACUGGUGUUGUCUCCAAGCAUCUUCCAGGAAGUAAGAGUAAGAUCAUUAGUAUGGGCUAGCUUCCAGUGAUGUGCUGGAGCGGGAUACUUAGGACGCCCGUGUUAAAGUCUUGGCAGAACAUCACAAGCAUCUUCUAUACUUUUGGCCUGAGGAAAGGUAUUACUGUACCUCAUGAUCCACAUUAGGUAGGAGAAAGGGGAAGGUUUCAAAACAAAGCCCAAAGUUCAACCUCAGGAGGAAAUCUUUUGCCUUCUAAAUUUCUCUGAUUCUGGGGCAUGCAAGUCACAGGCAUGUGUAGGAAGACGGAGAUAAACCAUGAGAAAGGUGUGGGUUGGUGGGAGGGGAGUUUUCUGCAGAAGUCUAACAAGUACCAACUCCUCCAUUAAAGUUUUAUUCUUUGCCAAAUAGUGCAUGCAUCCCUAGUAGAGAGCAAAACUAUCAACUGCUGCUUCACUGAACUUACCUGACUUUGAAAAUAGAAUGAACUCAUACUGAGAACCCCCUUCCUGUGUGCAUGGAAUUUACUUUUCAGGAUUGCGAACAAUAAUGAAAAUGUUUCGUCAAAAGUGAGAAACAAUUCUAGUUGAAAGUAAGCUAUGCCCACCGUGGGCUUCUGGAGCUAUACCAUCCUGGCAGGAUGAGCAUGGGAAACCAGGAGGUGGACAUGAAAUUUUACCCCAAGUGGUGGGUGGGUGAAUCUGGAUCUCUGGAAUGUGACCAGGGGGAGAGGGGCAUGAGCAGCAGCACUGUUUGCCAUCUUUAUGCUUAGGUGACAGAAGUACUAAAAUAAGUUCAAUAUUAAAUGACUUAUUAGGUGUAGCAGUGAACAAAAAUUGUUGCACAGAGUUCAGGCUGUCCUAGCUAAUCUUCUGCCUCACUUACUACUACUUCCAUAUUUAUCCACA